rnacentral:misc_RNA from 1 species
UACAGAGGCCUCGAGCGUUAGGCGGAAUCACUGGGCUUAAAGCGUGUGUAGGCGGAUGUCUAAGUGCUUUGUGAAAUCCCACGGCUCAACCGUGGAAUGGCUUGGCAUACUGGACGUCUUGAGCGGUCUAGGGGCGAGCGGAACAGAUGGUGGAGCGGUGAAAUGCGUAGAUAUCAUCUGGAACGCCAAUGGUGAAAACAGCUCGCUGGGGACCUGCUGACGCUGAGACACGAAAGCCAGGGGAGCAAACGGG